UACGUAGGCAGCAAGCGUUGUUCGGAGUUACUGGGCGUAAAGGGUGUGUAGGCGGUCUUCUAAGUCUGGUGUGAAAUCUCCCGGCUCAACUGGGAGGGUGCGCCGAAUACUGAAUGACUUGGAGUGCGGGAGAGGAAAGUGGAAUUCCUGGUGUAGCGGUGAAAUGCGUAGAUAUCAGGAGGAACACCGGUGGUGUAGACGGCUUUCUGGACCGUAACUGACGCUGAGACACGAAAGCGUGGGUAGCAAACAGG
rnacentral:rRNA from 1 species